rnacentral:rRNA from 1 species
UACGUAGGUGGCAAGCGUUGUUCGGAAUUAUUGGGCGUAAAGGGCGCGUAGGCGGUUUGUUAAGUCGGUUGUGAAAGCCCGGGCUCAACCCCGGAGAGUCGACCGAUACUGGCAGACUAGAGUACGGAAGAGGUAGCUGGAAUUCCCGGUGUAGCGGUGAAAUGCGCAGAUAUCAGGAGGAACACCGGUGGCGAAGGCAGCCCCCUGGGCCAACACUGACGCUCAGGCACGGAAAGCGUGGGGAGCAAACAGG